GACGAACGCUGGCGGCGUGCUUAACACAUGCAAGUCGAACGAAGUGGCGAACGGGUGAGUAACGAGUAAUCAACCUGCCCUUCAGAGGGGGACAACAGUUGGAAACGACUGCUAAUACCGCAUACUGAAGGAGGGGAUUGCGUCUGAUUAGCUAGUUGGAGGGGUAACGGCCCACCAAGGCGAUGAUCAGUAGCCGUGCUGAGAGAAUGAACGGCCACAUUGGGACUGGGACACGGCCCAGACUCCUACGGGAGGAAGCAGGGGGGAAUCUGCCGCAAUGGACGAAAGUCUGCCGGAGCAACGCCGCGUGAGUGAUGACGGCUUUCGGUUUGUAAAGCUCUUUUAACCGGGACGCGGUACCGGAAUAGAAAGCCACGGCUAACUCCGUGCCAGCCGCCGCGGUAAUAC
rnacentral:rRNA from 1 species